rnacentral:rRNA from 1 species
UAGGGAAUCUUCGGCAAUGGGGGCAACCCUGACCGAGCAACGCCGCGUGAGUGAAGAAGAUUUUCGGAUCGUAAAGCUCUGUUGUAAGAGAAGAACGUGUGUGAGAGUGGAAAGUUCACAUAGUGACGGUAACUUACCAGAAAGGGACGGCUAACUACGUGCCAG